rnacentral:rRNA from 1 species
GACGAACGCUGGCGGCGUGCUUAACACAUGCAAGUCGAACGAAGUGGCGAACGGGUGAGUAACGCGUAAUCAACCUGCCCUUCAGAGGGGGACAACAGUUGGAAACGACUGCUAAUACCGCAUACUGAAGGAGGGGAUUGCGUCGGCAUAGCUAGUUGGAGGGGUAACGGCCCACCAAGGCGAUGAUCAGUAGCCGGUCUGAGAGGAUGAACGGCCACAUUGGUACGGAGAAACGGCCCAGACUCCUACGGGAGGUAGCAGUGGGGAAGCUUCCGCAAUGGACGAAAGUCUGACGGAGCAACGCCGCGUGAGUGAUGACGGCAUUCGGGUUGAAAAGCUCUGUUAAUCGGGACGCGGUACCGGAAUAGAAAGCCACGGCUAACUACGUGCCAGCAGCCGCGGUAAUAC